AGAUUGGCUAGGACUAUACCAUGGAGGGCCAUGAAGUUUAGAUUUUAUUCUCAGAAUUAGAUAUGAGUCAAACGACAACAAGUUUGCAUAGGACACCAUUAAGGAACUCACUUGCAGUUUCUGACACUUGUUUGAUGGCUGAGGUCUGAGCUGUGCUCCUCACCAGGAUAGCCCACUGGUUUCCAGAUUUCUCCUUCCCUUAACCAGGACAAAACCAGUAACUCUUGGGGCAUUCAGUCUCAUCCACUCUACAACUCUACCUCUCCUUUGAGCUGCAGAUCCCUAUACUGAACUGCCAACUAUUCGUAGUCACUCCCCCAAAC
rnacentral:lncRNA from 1 species